rnacentral:piRNA from 1 species
UAACGUGAAAGUGCUUUCAUAGCAGAAAU